rnacentral:rRNA from 1 species
UACGUAGGUGGCAAGCGUUGUCCGGAAUUAUUGGGCGUAAAGCGCGCGCAGGCGGCCUCUUAAGUCUGAUGUGAAAGCCCCCGGCUCAACCGGGGAGGGCCAUUGGAAACUGGGAGGCUUGAGUAUAGGAGAGAAGAGUGGAACUCCACGUGUAGCGGUGAAAUGCGUAGAGAUGUGGAGGAACACCAGUGGCGAAGGCGACUCUUUGGCCUAUAACUGACGCUGAGGCGCGAAAGCGUGGGGAGCAAACAGG